rnacentral:rRNA from 1 species
AAACCCUUUAACGAGGACCUAUGAGAGGGCAAGUCUGGUGCCAGCAGCCGCGGUAAUUCCAGCUCUCAAGGUGUAUAUCGCCAUUGCUGCGGUUAAAAAGCUCGUAGUUGGAUCUGCGCCUUCGGACUCGGUCCUCCCAACGGGUGCGAACUGAGCUCCAAGGCUACUACUGCUGGUUUUCCCUUGAUGCUCUUCACUGGGUGUCUUGGGUGGCUAGCGAGUUUACUUUGAAAAAAUUAGAGUGCUCAAAACAGGCUAUUGCCUGAAUACCGGUGCAUGGAAUAAUAGAAUAGGAUCUCGGUCCUAUUUUGUUGGUUUUCGGAACUGAGAUAAUGGUUAAGAGGGACAGACGGGGGCAUUCGUAUCGCUGCGUGAGAGGUGAAAUUCUUGGACCGCAGCGAGACGCCCAACUGCGAAAGCAUUUGCCAAGAAUGUCUUCGUUAAUCAAGAACGAAAGUCAGGGGUUCGAAGGCGAUCAGAUACCGCCCUAGUUCUGACCGUAAACGAUGCCAACUAGCGAUCCGCCGGUGGUAAUUACGCCCCGGCGGGGAGCUUCCCGGAAACGAAAGUCUUCCGGUUCCGGGGGAAGUAUGGUUGCAAAGCUGAAACUUAAAGGAAUUGACGGAAGGGCACCACCAGGAGUGGAGCUUGCGGCUUAAUUUGACACAACACGGGAAAACUCACCCGGCCCGGACACCGUAAGGAUUGACAGAUUGAGAGCUCUUUCUUGAUUCGGUGGUUGGUGGUGCAUGGCCGUUCUUAGUUGGUGGAGCGAUUUGUCUGGUUUAUUCCGAUAACGAACGAGACUCUGGCCUACUAACUAGUGACAGAAUUAUUGCUGUUCUGGUUACUUCUUAGAGGGACAAGUGGUGUUCAGCCACACGAAAUUGAGUAAUAACAGGUCUGUGAUGCCCUUAGAUGUCCUGGGCUGCACGCGUGCUACACUGGAGGAAACAGCAUGCAAAACCAUUGCCGAGAGGCAUUGGUAAACCCGAGAAAAUCUUCCGUGAUCGGGACCGGGAAUUGCAAUUAUUUCCCUUGAACGAGGAAUUCCCAGUAAGUGUGGGUCAUCAGCUCGCGCUGAUUACGUCCCUGCCCUUUGUACACACCGCCCGUCGCUGCCCGGGACUGAGCCGUUUCGAGAAAAGCGGGGACUGCCGCUGUUGGGGCUUUCGGGCCUUGGCUUCGGUGGAAACCGCUUUA